rfam:Solanum lycopersicum cultivar Heinz 1706 chromosome 12, whole genome shotgun sequence.
GUCCCUUCGGGGACAUUCGAUAAAAUUGAAACAAUGCAGAGAAGAUUAGCAUGAUUUUUGCGCAAAUUAAAAAAACACACAAAAAUUGAGAAAUAAUUUAAAUUUUU